rnacentral:rRNA from 1 species
AGUCGAGCGAGUCUGCCUUGAAGAUCGGAGUGCUUGCACUCUGUGAAACAAGAUACAGGCUAGCGGCGGACGGGUGAGUAACACGUGGGUAACCUGCCCAAGAGAUCGGGAUAACACCUGGAAACAGAUGCUAAUACCGGAUAACAACAGAUGAUGCCUAUCAACUGUUUAAAAGAUGGUUCUGCUAUCACUCUUGGAUGGACCUGCGGUGCAUUAGCUAGUUGGUAGGGUAACGGCCUACCAAGGCGAUGAUGCAUAGCCGAGUUGAGAGACUGAUCGGCCACAUUGGGACUGAGACACGGCCCAAACUCCUACGGGAGGCAGCAGUAGGGAAUCUUCCACAAUGGACGCAAGUCUGAUGGAGCAACGCCGCGUGAGUGAAGAAGGGUUUCGGCUCGUAAAGCUCUGUUGUUGGUGAAGAAGGACAGGGGUAGUAACUGACCUUUGUUUGACGGUAAUCAAUUAGAAAGUCACGGCUAACUACGUGCCAGCAGCCGCGGUAAUACGUAGGUGGCAAGCGUUGUCCGGAUUUAUUGGGCGUAAAGCGAGUGCAGGCGGCUCGAUAAGUCUGAUGUGAAAGCCUUCGGCUCAACCGGAGAAUUGCAUCAGAAACUGUCGAGCUUGAGUACAGAAGAGGGGAGUGGAACUCCAUGUGUAGCGGUGAAAUGCGUAGAUAUAUGGAAGAACACCGGUGGCGAAGGCGGCUCUCUGGUCUGUUACUGACGC